AGUGAACGCUGGCGGCAGGCCUAACACAUGCAAGUCGAACGGCAGCACAAGAGAGCUUGCUCUCUGGGUGGCGAGUGGCGGACGGGUGAGGAAUGCAUCGGAAUCUGCCCAUUUGUGGGGGAUAACCUCGGGAAACCGGGACUAAUACCGCAUACGACCUACGGGUGAAAGCAGGGGAUCUUCGGACCUUGCGCAGAUGGAUGAGCCGAUGCCGGAUUAGCUAGUUGGAGGGGUAAAGGCCCACCAAGGCGGCGAUCCGUAGCUGGUCUGAGAGGAUGAUCAGCCACACUGGGACUGAGACACGGCCCAGACUCCUACGGGAGGCAGCAGUGGGGAAUAUUGGACAGUGGGCGCAAGCCUGAUCCAGCCAUGCCGCGUGUGUGAAGAAGGCCUUCGGGUUGUAAAGCACUUUUGUUGGGAAAGAAAAGCAGCCGGUUAAUACCCGGUUGUCAUGACGGUACCCAAAGAAUAAGCACCGGCUAACUUCGUG
rnacentral:rRNA from 1 species